AACGAACGCUGGCGGCAUGCCUAACACAUGCAAGUCGAACGAGACCUUCGGGUCUAGUGGCGCACGGGUGCGUAACGCGUGGGAACCUGCCCUUAGGUUCGGAAUAACUCCCCGAAAGGGGUGCUAAUACCGGAUAAUGUCUUCGGACCAAAGAUUUAUCGCCUUUGGAUGGGCCCGCGUUGGAUUAGCUUGUUGGUAGGGUAAAAGCCUACCAAGGCGACGAUCCAUAGCUGGUCUGAGAGGAUGAUCAGCCACACUGGGACUGAGACACGGCCCAGACUCCUACGGGAGGCAGCAGUGGGUAAUAUUGGACAAUGGGCGAAAGCCUGAUCCAGCAAUGCCGCGUGAGUGAUGAAGGCCUUAGGGUUGUAAAGCUCUUUUACCCGGGAUGAUAAUGACAGUACCGGGAGAAUAAGCUCCGGCUAACUCCGUG
rnacentral:rRNA from 1 species